CCCUGGGCUCUGCAGCUGCCUGUGUCCCCAUCUGGACAGGCACCAGGGCCUUCAGCUCCUCCUCAUGGCCAAUUUUCCAGCCACUCCAGCUCAACCUCCAUCCCACGGAACCACGGUUACUCCUGGGUCCUGGGUGUUGUGUGGAGUGAGAAGUGGUGGUGUUGAAGAUGAUGCAUUUGUUUGAUAGUGAGAGGUGAAAACAUGUCAUAUUGGUAAUUCCCAGUCAUGGAAGUGCGGACUCCUAGCACCCCUUGGAAAAUAAACUUUGGCUGAGGGAGAAAUCUCCCAGGUGUAUCGAGA